AGCUAUCCGAAUUAUGCCUGUAUACAAAGCAAAUGAUGGUGUAUGGUCAAUUUAGGCAACCUAAAUACAAAAAAUGAUAAAAAAAAUUAUCAGUAGAGAUUAAUUUUCCUUACUAAAAAUAAUUCACACACAGAAAUAACCACAAUUAUGUUAACAUCCUGAAUAUAAUUUAAAAUAGAGUUUAUUAUUAAAUGAGAUUUAUAGUUUGAAAGUGGAGGAUUAUUAUAAGUUUGUAAAUAAACAUAAAGUGCUGCGUAUAAUCUUGUUUUAUUGGUUAUUUAACAUUAAUUUUUUUUUUUCAGGAGUAUAACAACAAGGGUGAAAGUCUUACAGUACUUUUGUUAAUGACUUUUUAACAAAAAAAGUAUAACUAUUCUAUUAUGACAUUAUUCACGAAGCAUACAACAACUAUAAAGACAAGUAUCUAAAUACGCUAAAUGAUCUAAUACAGAUAAUUAAAUUACAAAAAUCGCUAAUUAUAAUACAUUUCCGUUGACAUCCACCGCUAUCUCACAAAAAAAUUAAUUGAACUUUAACAAGUAAAUAAAAAAAAACUUAAUCAAUUUAUUAUUAUUUCUAGCACAACAAUGGAAAUGAGAAAACUAUUAGAAGAUAUUGUAUGAAGAUAAUGAGUGCCAAAUCAUUCUUAGCUGCCUUAUCUUGU